CCACUACAAAACGGUUACACAAUUUCCCUGGGAGAAGGCGAGUUUCCACCUCUGGGGAUGAAUAAGCCCUUUCUUUUCUGGAGAGCUGGCCAAUGAGGCACAGGCUGGGUACUGCAGGAGGGGCGGCUGAAGGAACAGCAGGCCUCGGUCUAAUUUGGAGGCCAGGGAUUCAUUUUCUGCGUCAAAGAUAUCCGUUCUACUCUUUAGCAAGGCAUCUCUCUCUUCCCUUUGCACCACACACAGCCAGCUCCUGUGUAAGGAAGUCAAGAUUUUCUCAAGGGAAAAAUCACCCUAGAAACCAUCAACUCAUGACAAACGUGAUCUCCAACGUUCAUUUUGGAAAAUAGCCUCAAGGAUGAGAUGAUGAGGAUUUUGAAGAUGGGUGAGUAGGUCGUCUACUUCCCAGAGGAGAAGGAAGGCCAGGACUCUCUGGGGCAUGUCCUAAAUGUCCUUCUCUUCAGUUCUGACUUUUCAAAUCUUUCUCUUGCUGGGGCCAGCGAGGAGGGCUGGGCAGGAUGGGCACCCGAAGAGGCUGGGAGGGAAGAUGUUGAAUUCCAGGGGGCCCUGCAUCAUCCUGAAGGUCAAAUUGAGUGAGCCUAGUUCAGAAAGGCCCAAGGCAGAUCACAGGGCUGGAAAAGGGAUGGAGCUGCUAGGUGGACACUCUGUGUAGACUCUGGGAUGAACUGGGAAUGGGAGCCAACGUCAAGCCCAAGCCAGGGAGCCUGGUGAAUGGCCUCCUUCGAUAGCUGAGGAAGCCCAAACCAUUCUUUUGUUGGCCACUGGGUGAGGGACACACAUGGGACUGUCAGACUUGGUUCAGGAAGUUGGCAGGUACAUUACCCUCCAGGAAGUCUCUCUGAUAACCCCAGAGGGUGAUGAUCUUGCCCUCCUGGGAUUCACUCUGCACUUGUACUUUCCCCUAUGAGGACAGGCAUGUGUCUCUCUGCCCCACCACACACAGGCCUAGUACGUUCCUCAGGGCUGGCCUGGUCUUGUCCCUUCUGUGGUCCUCUGGGUGUCCAGCUGAGGACCUGACCUGCCCUGGAGCACAGUGGGCAUUUCCUAAAUCAAAUGGACAAAUGGAUUGACUUGUCUCUUGCUAAGAGCGCCUACUUUCGGGGUGUGGAAGUAGAGACAGGAGAGAAGCUCAGGAUGCUGCUCAGAACAACCCAUGGCUCAGACUUCCCACCUGCAAGAUGGGCAGACGGGCAGAAGAGUCCUCUCCUUGUCUGCCACCCGCAUGGCGUGCUGUGAGGAGCCUGUGAGAACCUGCCCAACACCAUGAGAAGUGCAACACCAACCUCAGGUGGAAGGUCUUAAGAGAAAAGACUGAGGUCCCUCGAAGAUGAAGAAAUCCUCAUGAAGAUGAAUCCAAAGGUGGAUUCAAUUCCAGCUGUCUUUGGACUCAAGACUGCAACAUCAACACUUCCCAGGGUCUCCAGCCUGCCUGCCUCUCCCGCAAAUUUCAGAUUUGCAAGUAUCCACAGUCAUGAGCAAUUCCUUAAAGUAAAUAUUUCUCUGUUUCUUUCUGGAUAUGUAUAGGUUGUUUCUUUGGAGAAUCCUGAUUAAUACAUGAAGGGUCAAGAUAAGUCUACUCCAGGUGAAGUGCAAAAAAUGAACAAGGAGGCCCAAUGAUGCAUCUGCUUAACUAUUCAGUUGUCAAUGCAAAUUAAGCACAAAGAGGACAGAGUUGAUGACAUAUCAGGAACAUUUUUUACUUCCGGAGCAGGUCUGAGUCCCAGCGGAAGACUGAGGCCGACUGAGCCAGAGGCACCACUUCAAUAGGUCACUGGUCUCUGCAGGGAAAGGAAAAGGUGUAAGAGUUCUCCCUGCAUAGAUGUUAUUUGUGACUUGGAUGUUUUCUUUCUAAUACAAAUGCAUCAAAGUGUUCACAGGAAUCUAGCUAUAUGCAAGAAGUCUGGAUUAUCUGCCUGAGAGAACUGGCCAGUAUCUCACCCAUGAGCACCAGAACCCGUUUCUAGAUUACUAAGAAAGGAGCACAAGAACACUGUGUAUGAGGCUCUGUGUUCCUAGAACUUUCUAAAUUUUACUUAAUGCAGGUUAACUUCAUCAACCCUGGUGAAAAUGCCACCUCCUCGUGAGGAAGCCUUCCCCAUUUGCUCUGUCUCAGAGACACUUGACUCCAUGGACUUCUCUGCAAUUCUGUUCUGUGUAGGACUGCCUGGUGCCUAGCCUUCUUGUGAUGUUCCUUGCUUAUGUCUUGUCUCCCCAUUUGAUUUGGAGGGUCCUGGGCAGGGACCACUGGGCUGGGCUAUAGUAGGCCCCCUGUAAAGACCUGUUGAGUAAUUAGAAGAGACAGUGGCCCCAUCUGGGUGAAUCCUGAAUUUAAUCAAUUUCCUGGAUCCUUGUUUAUCUUGCAAGUAGGAUAAGAAUGUCAUUGAAAUCCUAUCAUGUAGUCAUGGAAGGGCUAAUACAGUCAGUGUACUGCUACUCACUAAGCAUGCUGUUUAGCUCAGCGGUUUUUUGUUUUGUUUUGAUAACAAGACUGUCUUGAUGAAAGAAGCAGGGCAUUGUUUAAUAUUCUAAUGCAGGCUCCUUAUUUCACGACAUACUGGUAGUUACACUUGGAGUCGCAGUGAAAUAAAACAUCUAGGCCAGCGCCGUGGCUCACGUCUGUAAUCCCAGCACUUUCGGAGGCUGAGGCAGGUGGAUCACUUGAGGUCAGGAGUUUGAACCAGCUUGGCCAACAUGGUGAAACCCUGUCUUUACUAAAAAUACAAAAAUUAGCCUGGCGUGGUGAUGCAUGCCUGUAGUCCCAGGUACUUGCGAGGCUGAGGCAGGAGAAUCGCUUGAACCUGGAAGGUGGAGAUUGCAGUGAGCCAAGAUGGCACCACUGCACUCCAGCCUGGGUGACAGAGCAAGACUGUGUCUCAAAAAAAUUAAAGAAAACAGAAAUAAAACAUAUAGCCUCACCCUCUUCAUUUGACAGAUGUGGGCUUUGAGGCUGA